CUCGGAUCGGCUUGGUUCGUUUACACUCUCUUAUGGGGUAGAGAUAGGAGGAGCGAUCCUCAUCCCCCAUCCGCUCCAUUGGCAUUCCUAUAUAUAUGAAGCCUCAAGUGCACUGUGCUGGAAAAAUUAACCAGAAACUCUGAUUUGGAACCUAAAAAGGUAAUCUUUUAUAUUGGGGAUGUCAUCCAGCUCCCCUUCUGAUUCUCCCUCAGGUGAUUCACCGGACUUCAUCAGAAGUUUUAUGGAGAGCCUGUCUUUGUGAAGUAAGAUGAGAAAUCUACUUGCAGGUUCUCAUACUUGUUCAUGAAUGGAUGAGU
rnacentral:misc_RNA from 1 species